rnacentral:rRNA from 1 species
UUUAAAUGUAAUUUUAAAAGCUAAAUUAGUAUUAGUUAUGUUCUUGAAAAUUAAAGAUUUUGGCGGUAUUUUAGUCUAUUCAGAGGAACCUGUUCUGUAAUCGAUAAUCCACGAUUUAAUUUACUUUUUUUAUUAAUUUACAUAUCGUCGUAAUUUGAAUAUUUUAUAAGAAUUUUAAUAUUCAAGAAUUUUUAUAAAAAAAUAAAUCAGAUCAAGGUGUAGUUUAUGGGAAAGAAGAAAUGGGUUACAAUAAAUAUAAUUUAAGAUUAUUAUUUUUAAAAUAAUAUGAAUUUGGAUUUGAGAGUAAUUUUAAUUAAUUUAUUAAUUUGAUUUUAGCUCUAAAAUAUGC